GCCCUCUAUAGGCAACCCAGCUCUUCUAAUUUAAAAGUUGCUGCAUUUGUGAUGAUUUUCAUCUUGACUGGGGAUGCUCCCCAUUCUGAACACCAGCAUCAUGCAUCCUUUGCUCUGUUCUAGGCACAACAAUCAAAAGUGCUUAUUCCCAAACUGGACCUGACUUCAGCCAGAAUAUGUCACCGUGAGAUUCCCUAUGCAGAGGCCCAUGUGGCAACAAACUGAUGUGUCCUUCCAACAACCAGGCCUGAGACCUCACAAGACCCAACUGGCAUGCAUUUGUAUGUGAGUGCCAGUGCGGGUCAUCACAGCUUGCAUCCAUUUCAAGUCUUCAUCUAACAUACAGAAGAAAAAACACUGAUUUUGACAACCACCCAUAGAUGACAGUACGUUUUGGGAGGCCAGGAGUCCAGUGGUAAGGUCCCAGCAUACCACUGGAGCAAAACAUCUGAGAAUACACAC
rnacentral:lncRNA from 1 species